AACGAACGCUGGCGGCAUGCCUAACACAUGCAAGUCGAACGAGACCUUCGGGUCUAGUGGCGCACGGGUGCGUAACGCGUGGGAACCUGCCCUUAGGUUCGGAAUAACUCCCCGAAAGGGGUGCUAAUACCGGAUAAUGUCUUCGGACCAAAGAUUUAUCGCCUUUGGAUGGGCCCGCGUUGGAUUAGCUAGUUGGUAGGGUAAAAGCCUACCAAGGCGACCAUCCAUAGCUGGUCUGAGAGGAUGAUCAGCCACACUGGGACUGAGACACGGCCCAGACUCCUACGGGAGGCAGCAGUGGGGAAUAUUGGACAAUGGGCGAAAGCCUGAUCCAGCAAUGCCGCGUGAGUGAUGAAGGCCUUAGGGUUGUAAAGCUCUUUUACCCGGGAUGAUAAUGACAGUACCGGGAGAAUAAGCUCCGGCUAACUCCGUG
rnacentral:rRNA from 1 species